UGGCAAGAUGGCCGAGUUGGUCUAAGGCGUUAGACGUCAGUAUUCCCACAAUGGAUUUUCACGAAAGUCCUCAAACUAACAUCCUCUUAGUCAAGAGAACUAUCUCUUCACUGCAACACAGUGAGCAUUCUAAUCUCGCAAGAGGCACGGGUUCGAAUCCCGUUCUUGUCAU
rnacentral:tRNA from 1 species